rnacentral:rRNA from 1 species
AAACAUCUCUUCUAGUUAUUUUUGAAGUCACCCCUGCUCACUGAUUUAAAGAGCUGCAGUAUUCCAACUGUACUAAGGUAGCAUAAUAAUUUGCCCUCUAAUUAAGGGCUUGAAUGAAAGGUACGACGUGAAACUAACUUUUCCUUUUACAGUAAAAAAUUAUACGGUGGGUAAAAAUACUCACAUAAAUUUAAAGGACGAUAAGACCCUAUAAAAUUUAACUUCUUUAUUUUAGUCUAGGUUUUAAGUGGUUGAAGUUUUGCUGGGACGGCUAAAAUUAAAUAUCUAUUUUUGUUUAGACGGUAAUUUGCGAAAAUUAGGACCCGUAGUAGACUUAAGAUUAAAUUACUUUAGGGGUAACAGCGUAAUUUUUCUUAAAGUUCUUAUUAAAAGAAAAGAUUGCGACCUCGAUGUUGAAUUGGGGAAAUUGUAGGGCGCAAAAGC